AAUCGACAAGACGGCGAUGAAGAAGGAGAGCCAGCCUCCAGCUCGAGAGCCGAGAAGACACUGGAUGGACCUGAAGAAUAUGUUGCUGCCAAUGUUGGAGCCAUACAGGGCAGCCCGAGCCAACAUUGUACAAGGGCCACAAGGUCCAGGGCCUCAAGGACAAGGGACACAAGGACAAGGGACACAAAAGACGAUGUUGCAAUCUGCGGGCCCUCUGCAGAUUGAGAUGAUGGCUGUCGAGAAGACCCAACCACUCAACCAAGAUCUACAAAUUGUGCUAUGGUAGAUGUGACUCUCAAAAGAUUUUGGAUGACUAAGGAAUCCAAUACAUAUAUGUCGCUCACAGAUACGGGCAGACGACCGAGAGUCGAGUGGAUUCAGUAGAUCGAAUGGUUGUGCAGAGGGAUAGCCAUGUGCAGGAGUGACGAACCAGAGCUCAGCAAACGAUGCCUUGACAGAACAAUUUAAGGAGAACCUUCGCUAAGAUCAGAAAGGGAACUUGUUUGCUGUGGGGAUGGAUUGGACACCGAAAUGUCUGUCAUUCUAAUAAACUAUAAUGACAAUCCAACUCCAAAGGGACUUUCUGGACUUAGGGAAAGCUACGGACAUAGAGCCCUGACAUGAUAUCCUGCAGCCACCAUGAGGACAGCCUAUCUCAUACCUUCGGAAGGGUGCCAUCACACGCAUGGAGAAGCAUCCGACAGGAGGAAGAUGGAUGUCGCUGACCAGCACAUCCCAACGAUGUAUUUUUGUCACCGUAGACCUAUUGCUUUUAUUGAAAUAUCUGAUUGAAAGGUGAUUUUAUUGAUAAAAAUCCUAAAAUUUUCUGAUGGGAGAAGGUAUAUAUUGACCUUCUUAGGGCAAUGACAAUAUGUUGUCAUGGUUUAAAAUAAUGCACGUAUAAAGAAGGAACAUUUUAGAGGAGGGUUUCUUUGGUUACCAGGGGCACCAUGAUCCAAGAGAUCAACAAUUUUCUGGCAAAAUCUUUUGAAAGAAGGCGAAAUGUGGAGUGGGUGUUUAUGGAGAGCCAAUAGGGCAUGUCAGUACCCAAACAAAUAAGUCUCAAGCAAAAUUGAUUUUUAGCUUAUGAAGGCAGAAGCUAAUAGCCUAGGGCACAUCAGGACCCUACUGCUUGAAAUGGUUUUCUCCUGAAAUAAUCACCAACUUCAUCAGAUAUUUCAUUAUUAUAUCUCCAUCACUUGAGACAUGGGGUUCAUAUGAUUUCUUUCUUGCUUAAACCCCAGGCAAAAAAGGAACAUAUGUGUCUGCGAUGGAACGUAGGCCUUUUUUACUGUUUCUCGAUCUCCCCAGUACCACAGAAUCCACGGGCAUUGGUCUGAGCAGUUAAGCCGAGACCUCCUUACGUUGGCUGGCUCAGUUGCUUGGUAUCAUAUAAUACCAGAGACAACUGACCAACUACACAAAGAAGUUAAAGAAGUUGCGUUCCCUCAAUCACUUUUACCAAAUACCUGGGAACCAGGGCUGCUCCAUACCUCUGGAAUCAACUCCCUACGUCCAUCCGCAAGGCGGAUUCAGUGGUAUCUUUCAAGGCCGUUCUAAAAACUCACUUAUUCAGGCAUGCUUUUUUCAACAGCGCCUGAGAGUCGAGGAAAUUGUUUCCUCGAAUCAGGCGCUAUAUAAAUAUUUUAAUUGAUUGAUUGAUUGAUUGAUGAAA